UACGAAGGGUGCAAGCGUUGCCGUCGAAUUAUUGGGCGUAAAGGGUAGGUAGGUGGUAAUAAAAGUCUGGGGUGAAAUCCCUGAGCUCAACUCAGGACGUGCCUUGGAAACUUUAUUACUAGAGUGCUGGAGAGGUCCGCAGAAUUCCCGGUGUAGCGGUGAAAUGCGUAGAGAUCGGGAGGAAUACCAGAGGCGAAGGCGGCGGACUGGACAGUCACUGACACUCAACUACGAAAGCGUGGGUAGCAAACAGGAUUAGAAACC
rnacentral:rRNA from 1 species